rnacentral:tRNA from 3 species
GCGGUUGUGGCGGAAUUGGCAGACGCGCAAGAUUCAGGUUCUUGUGAGCAGUACGUUCAUGUGGGUUCAAGUCCCGUCAACCGCACCA